rnacentral:lncRNA from 10 species
CUUCCGCGCUCUUUGAAAUGUCCGGCGCCGGAAUGUCUGGGUGCUUUGGUUGGAGAGGGUCCCAUUUCCAGUCAUUCUUCAGCCUGGUGAUUCCCGCGCUCCCCUGAGGAGCAUAUGAAGUACGUCGGUUCUGCCAGGUUGGAACGCGCUGCUGGACACUCGGCCGUAAGGCGGAUCCCGGAUCCCCUCCCACUCCGACCCUUCCCUCCAGAAGGGCCGGUUCCCAAACGGCCCCUUUAGACACAUCCAAGCGGUUGCCGACGGCCCUCACGAUGAAAACUGCUGUCCGUUGGUGAAGGCAGCCUCUUCUGUGCUCCUCGCCGCUGACUUCCUGAGGCGGACCUACCUGUGGAGGCAUACCAGGAACCAGACGAUGACCCCCUCCAAAAGUUGGGUCUUUGAGGAGAGCUACUAACUUGGGUUCCUGGUACACCCUCUACAUGCAGUGGUGAAGCUUAUCUAACAGUCAUUCAUAGAAUCAGUUUGGGAAGGGGAAUUUUCACUGAACUCUCAUAGAGAAACUGUGUUUUAGAUAACAGAAAGUUCUGCACGGUUAAAAUGGAACAGAAAUUUUUUUGCACAGAAAUUAGGAUUACCGAAAAUACUGAAGAAAGACUACCUCUGAUUGGACUCUUCUCAAGGAAUUAAUAAUUCAAGAACUAAGGAAAGAAAAAAGUGAUUAUAUGAAAAUACUGAAGUUGAUCGUAGCAGCUGAAGGCUGAUCCUGUGCUGAAGUACAUUGGUGCAAUCUUGGCUCACUGCAUCUCCACCCCAGGUUCAAGCGAUUCUCCUGCCUCAGCCUCCCAAGCAGCUGGGAUUACAGGUAUGUAGCACAAUGCCCG